GAUGAACGCUGGCGGCGUGCCUAAUACAUGCAAGUCGAGCGAACGGACGAGAAGCUUGCUUUUCUGAUGUUAGCGGCGGACGGGUGAGUAACACGUGGAUAACCUACCUAUAAGACUGGGAUAACUUCGGGAAACCGGAGCUAAUACCGGAUAAUAUUUUGAACCGCAUGGUUCAAAAGUGAAAGACGGUCUUGCUGUCACUUAUAGAUGGAUCCGCGCUGCAUUAGCUAGUUGGUAAGGUAACGGCUUACCAAGGCAACGAUGCAUAGCCGACCUGAGAGGGUGAUCGGCCACACUGGAACUGAGACACGGUCAAGACGCCUACGGGAGGCAGCAGUAGGGAAUCUUCCGCAAUGGGCGAAAGCCUGACGGAGCAACGCCGCGUGAGUGAUGAAGGCCUUCGGAUCGUAAAACUCUGUUAUUAGGGAAGAACAGAUGUGUAAGUAACUGUGCACAUCUUGACGGUACCUAAUCAGAAAGCACGGCUAACUACGUG
rnacentral:rRNA from 1 species